UGCAUAUCAAAAAGCGGAGGAAAAGAAACCAACAGGGAUUGCCUCAGUAACGGCGAGUGAAGCGGCAAAAGCUCAAAUUUGAAAUCUAGCACCUUCGGUGUUCGAGUUGUAAUUUGAAGAUGGUAACCUUGGGUUUGGCUCUUGUCUAUGUUCCUUGGAACAGGACGUCAUAGAGGGUGAGAAUCCCGUCUGAUGAGAUGCCCAUUCCUAUGUAAGGUGCUAUCGAAGAGUCGAGUUGUUUGGGAAUGCAGCUCUAAGUGGGUGGUAAAUUCCAUCUAAAGCUAAAUAUUGGCGAGAGACCGAUAGCGAACAAGUACAGUGAUGGAAAGAUGAAAAGAACUUUGAAAAGAGAGUGAAAAAGUACGUGAAAUUGUUGAAAGGGAAGGGCAUUAGAUCAGACUUGGUGUUUUACGAUUAUCUUCUCUUCUUGAGUUGUGCACUCGUAUUUCACUGGGCCAGCAUCGAUUCGGAUGGCAAGAUAAUGGCAGUUGAAUGUGGCUUCACUUCGGUGGAGUGUUAUAGCUUCUGCUGAUAUUGCCUGUCUGGAUCGAGGGCUGCGUCUUUUGACUAGGAUGCUGGCGUAAUGAUCUAAUGCCGCCCGUCUUGAACCACGG
rnacentral:rRNA from 1 species